rnacentral:rRNA from 1 species
GACAGAGGAUGCAAGCGUUAUCCGGAAUGAUUGGGCGUAAAGCGUCUGUAGGUGGCUUUUCAAGUCCGCCGUCAAAUCCCAGGGCUCAACCCUGGACAGGCGGUGGAAACUACCAAGCUGGAGUACGGUAGGGGCAGAGGGAAUUUCCGGUGGAGCGGUGAAAUGCAUUGAGAUCGGAAAGAACACCAGUGGCGAAGGCGGCUACCUGGACAGAUACUGACGCUGAGGCGCGAGAGCGUGGGGAGCAAACAGGG